GUCCUCUUAGUUGUAUAUGAGGUCAGGCCUGCCCAGUGAAUUUUAUUUUAACGACCGCAGUAUUUUGACCGUGCAAAGGUAGCAUAAUCAUUAGUCUUUUAAUAGGAGGCUGGAAUGAAGGGUUUGACGAGGUGUUAACUGUCUCAUUUAAUUUGAAAUUAAAAUUUAAGUUUUCAAUUAAAAGGCUGAAAUUAUAUUGGAAGACAAGAAGACCCUAUAGAACUUUAUAGUUGUAAUUAUAAUUAAUUGUUUUUUAUAGUCAUAUGCCUAUUUUGUUGGGGUGACAAAAAUAUAAAAGUAACUUUUUUAUUUAGUGAUCAUUGAUUUAUGAACUUUAGAUCCAAUUUUAUUAAUUAUUAGAAUAAUUUACCUUAGGGAUAACAGCGUAAUAUUCCUUCAGAGUUCAUAUUUACAGGAAGGAUUGCAACCUCGAUGUUGGAUUAAGAUAAUAGUUAGGUGUAGCCGCUUAAUUUAUAGGUCUGUUCAACCUUUAAACUCUU
rnacentral:rRNA from 1 species